CUCCGUAGGUGAACCUGCGGAGGGAUCAU
rnacentral:rRNA from 1 species